UUAGAGUUUGAUCCUGGCUCAGGAUGAACGCUAGCUACAGGCUUAACACAUGCAAGUCGAGGGGCAGCAUGAGAUUAGCUUGCUAAUCUUGAUGGCGGCCGGCGCACGGGUGAGUAACGCGUAUCCAACCUUCCCUUUACUCUGGGAUAGCCCGGUGAAAACCGGAUUAACACCGGAUGGUUUCACAUGACGGCAUCAGACUGUGAAUAAAGGUUACGGUAAAGGAUGGGGAUGCGUCUGAUUAGCUUGUUGGCGGGGUAACGGCCCACCAAGGCAACGAUCAGUAGGGGUUCUGAGAGGAAGGUCCCCCACAUUGGAACUGAGACACGGUCCAAACUCCUACGGGAGGCAGCAGUGAGGAAUAUUGGUCAAUGGUCGGAAGACUGAACCAGCCAUGCCGCGUGAAGGAAUAAGGUCCUAUGGAUCGUAAACUUCUUUUGUGCGGGAGCAAUAAGGGCCACGUGUGGUCCGAUGAGAGUACCGUACGAAUAAGCAUCGGCUAACUCCGUGCCAGCAGCCGCGGUAAUACGGAGGAUGCGAGCGUUAUCCGGAUUUAUUGGGUUUAAAGGGUGCGUAGGCUGUUUGGCAAGUCAGGGGUGAAAUACCGGAGCUUAACUUCGGAACUGCCUUUGAUACUGUCAGGCUUGAAUUCGGAUGCCGUGGGAGGAAUGAGUAGUGUAGCGGUGAAAUGCAUAGAUAUUACUCAGAACACCGAUUGCGAAGGCAUCUCACGAAUCCGACAUUGACGCUGAGGCACGAAAGCGUGGGGAUCAAACAGGAUUAGAUACCCUGGUAGUCCACGCAGUAAACGAUGAUAACUAACCGUCGGGGAUAGACAGUCGGUGGGCCAAGCGAAAGCGAUAAGUUAUCCACCUGGGGAGUACGACCGCAAGGUUGAAACUCAAAGGAAUUGACGGGGGCCCGCACAAGCGGAGGAACAUGUGGUUUAAUUCGAUGAUACGCGAGGAACCUUACCCGGGCUCGAACGGCUGGUGAACGACACAGAGAUGUGAAGGUCCUUCGGGACGCCAGUCGAGGUGCUGCAUGGUUGUCGUCAGCUCGUGCCGUGAGGUGUCGGCUCAAGUGCCAUAACGAGCGCAACCCUUGUCACUAGUUACCAGCAUGUCAUGAUGGGGACUCUAGUGAGACUGCCGGUGAUAAAUCGGAGGAAGGUGGGGACGACGUCAAAUCAUCAUGCCCCUUAUGUCUUGGGCUACACACGUACUACAAUGGCUGUUACAGAAGGAUGCGAAAGAGCAAUCUGGAGCCAAUCCCCAAAGGCAGUCUCAGUUCGGAUUGUGGGCUGCAACCCGCCCACAUGAAGUCGGAAUUGCUAGUAAUUGCAGGUCAGCAUACUGCAGUGAAUACGUUCCCGGGUCUUGCACACACCGCCCGUCAAG
rnacentral:rRNA from 1 species